rnacentral:rRNA from 1 species
GGGGUGAGUAACACGUGGAUAACCUACCUAUAAGACUGGGAUAACUUCGGGAAACCGGAGCUAAUACCGGAUAAUAUAUUGAACCGCAUGGUUCAAUAGUGAAAGACGGUUUUGCUGUCACUUAUAGAUGGAUCCGCGCUGCAUUAGCUAGUUGGUAAGGUAACGGCUUACCAAGGCAACGAUGCGUAGCCGACCUGAGAGGGUGAUCGGCCACACUGGAACUGAGACACGGUCCAGACUCCUACGGGAGGCAGCAGCC